rnacentral:rRNA from 1 species
CCUACGGGCGGCAGCAGUGGGGAAUAUUGGACAAUGGGGGCAACCCUGAUCCAGCCAUGCCGCGUGUGUGAAGAAGGCCCUCGGGUUGUAAAGCACUUUCAGUGAGGAAGAACGCCUGGUGGUUAAUACCCAUCAGUAAAGACAUCACUCACAGAAGAAGCACCGGCUAACUCCGUGCCAGCAGCCGCGGUAAUACGGAGGGUGCGAGCGUUAAUCGGAAUUACUGGGCGUAAAGCGCGCGUAGGUGGCUUGAUAAGCCGGUUGUGAAAGCCCCGGGCUCAACCUGGGAACGGCAUCCGGAACUGUCAAGCUAGAGUGCAGGAGAGGAAGGUAGAAUUCCCGGUGUAGCGGUGAAAUGCGUAGAGAUCGGGAGGAAUACCAGUGGCGAAGGCGGCCUUCUGGACUGACACUGACACUGAGGUGCGAAAGCGUGGGUAGCAAACAGGAUUAGAUACCCCGGUAGUC